AUAUAAAUCACCUGGGGAUCCUAUUAAAGUGCAGAUUCUAAUUCAACAGUUCUGGAAUGGGGCCUGAGAGUCUGCAUUUCUUACAAGCUCCCAGGUGACGCCAAC
rnacentral:pre_miRNA from 1 species